ACACAUUUACAGCCCAUCGAAUCGAGAUUGCUAUGAGCAACAGGCACUGAAACAUACGGUUAUUGAAAUGAAUUCCGAGUCAUCAGAUGAUGAAGUUGAAGCUAAGCAGCAACGAAAUCUUGAUGUAGCUACUACUGCCUCGCUUGACUUAGUUGCUCUAAAUAACAAGGUGAUUUCUAUGAGAGGUCAGAUUAAGAAAGUAAAAGUUCAUGUAAUUCACAAGCUGACCAAGCAGAUAAAGACUUUCCAAAGCAAAUCAAGAGGACCAGAAAAAGUAUUGGAAAAAAAUAAACGAAAGGCUGAAAAAUUGAUAGAGGAAGUGCAAAUCAUAAAGGAUUUAAAACCUGAUCGAAUUUCCAAAUAUGCCAUUGGUCAUACAACUUCUUUCUCUGAAGUAUGCAAAGAGCCAAGGAUGUCUUUGGAAACCCGAGCUUUGGCACGGCUAACAGAUCACAAGAUUUUACAAGACUCGGUGAAAGAGUUCAGACAAGACCACGAAGACUGGAUGUCUCUUGCAGCUUUUUUGAUGAGCCGAAAUUCGGGAAGGAGAAUCAAGAAGAAAAGUCAGAAUAGAGUGGAUAAAAUCAUUACUAAUGUCAAAGCUGGUGAAGUUCUGGUAAAAUCCUUCUUGAAAAAUCGACUUGAAGGAGAUGAAGAUGAAUUAGAGAAGAUUGUAAAUUUAAAUGCUGUAAAGAAAAAGUCCGACAAUUCGAAAGAAGAGCCUGUAGAAUGUGUAGCAAAACCAGUUUUGCCAGUAGAUGGAAAAGGGUCUGAUAUGGAAUCUGAUCUGAGUGAUGAGGAGAGUGAUGAAUGUCUUGAUGAAUCUGAUGAAAGUGAUGAAAUUCCCCAAGACUUUUCAGUAGAAACUCAUUCAGAAUCAAGGACAUCAGAUGAUUUGCCUGAUUCAACUACAAAAAGUCUUGAUAAAAGUAAACGACUGAAAAAACAUAAAACAGAGAAAACUCAAACUAAGAAACAUUCUGAAAUGGUAAUAAAGAAACUCAAUAUGGAGGACUUCAAAAGUGAUAGUGAAAUACCUACAGAAUCGCUGCCCAUGUUUCUAGUGGAUGACAAUGAGUCAGGGUCUUCAAAAAAAAAAAAAAUCAAAAGUCCAAAAAGAAAGACUUGUUCUUUGUCACAAGUGAUGAUUCAGGUGAUGAGGGAGAAGAUGAAGACGAGGGGUCUGAGAAUAGCAGACUACAGGGGGAUGAUGCAGAAGACAGCGAUGAGGAGGAGGAGCUAGAGAGGGGGAAACAUGCAUUCAGAUCAACAUUCAUGGGCUCUCUGUCAGAAAAAGACUGGAGAAAAAGUACUAAGGAAAGAAACCACGGCAAUAUGAAGGGACCAACAGCACCAGGUUCUUCUUCCAAUUUUCAGAAAAGUAGAAAGGGCAGAGAUUUCCCAAAGAAGCUUCCUAAACAAAGCAAGCAGUUCAAGUCAAAGGACGUUCAAAGUGGAUCAAAGAAAGAUACAGAGGAAAAAUUACACCCAUCUUGGAUUGCAAGCAAGAAGCGAAAGGAGCAAGCACAAAUACAGAUUUUCCAGGGAAAGAAAAUCAAGUUCGAUGAUUAGCAAUGCAAUCAAAAUAGAAUAUAUUCAAAUCUGUUUAAAACCAAUUGACAAAAUAUGUCAAACCAAUAAAUUGAUGAAAUAGUGCCAAGCACAUAUGACAUUUUGUACUUAUCUGCAAUACAUGUAUCAUACAUGAAUAAAGAAACAAAAUGAU
rnacentral:misc_RNA from 1 species